rnacentral:rRNA from 1 species
UACGUAGGUGGCAAGCGUUGUCCGGAUUUAUUGGGUUUAAAGGGUGCGUAGGCGGCUUUGUAAGUCAGUGGUGAAAUAUGGCAGCUCAACUGUCAGGGUGCCAUUGAUACUGCGGAGCUUGAGUACAGAUGAGGUAGGCGGAAUUGACGGUGUAGCGGUGAAAUGCGCAGAUAUCAGGAGGAACACCGGUGGCGAAGGCGGAUCUCUGGGCCUGUUCUGACGCUGAGGCGCGAAAGCUAGGGGAGCGAACAGG